GGGGAGUUAGCUCAGUUGGGAGAGCGCGACGUUCGCAAUGUCGAGGUCGAGGGUUCGACUCCCUUACUCUCCA
rnacentral:tRNA from 1 species